AGGACGAACGCUGGCGGCGUGCUUAACACAUGCAAGUGGAGCGACGAACCAGGGCUUGCCCUGGGGCAGAGCCGCGAACGGGUGAGUAACACGUGGGUUACCUGCCUUGAUGACCGGGACAACCCGAGGAAACUCGGGCUAAUACCGGAUGUGCCCGCAAGGGGAAAGGAAGCUUCGGCCUCCGCAUCAAGAUGGGCCCGCGGCCCAUUAGCUUGUUGGUGAGGUAACGGCUCACCAAGGCUUCGAUGGGUAGCUGGUCUGAGAGGACGAUCAGCCACACUGGGACUGAGACACGGCCCAGACUCCUACGGGAGGCAGCAGUGGGGAAUCUUGCGCAAUGCGCGAAAGCGUGACGCAGCAACGCCGCGUGGGGGAAGAAGGCUUUCGGGUUGUAAACCCCUUUCAGUUGGGACGAAGCUUCUCCGGUGAAUAGCCGGACGGAGUGACGGUACCUUCACAAGAAGCACCGGCUAACUACGCGCCAGCAGCCGCGGU
rnacentral:rRNA from 1 species